rnacentral:rRNA from 1 species
GAUGAACGCUGGUGGCGUGCCUAAUACAUGCAAGUCGAGCGAACGGACGAGAAGCUUGCUUCUCUGAUGUUAGCGGCGGACGGGUGAGUAACACGUGGAUAACCUACCUAUAAGACUGGGAUAACUUCGGGAAACCGGAGCUAAUACCGGAUAAUAUUUUGAACCGCAUGGUUCAAAAGUGAAAGACGGUCUUGCUGUCACUUAUAGAUGGAUCCGCGCUGCAUUAGCUAGUUGGUAAGGUAACGGCUUACCAAGGCAACGAUGCAUAGCCGACCUGAGAGGGUGAUCGGCCACACUGGAACUGAGACACGGUCCAGACUCCUACGGGAGGCAGCAGUAGGGAAUCUUCCGCAAUGGGCGAAAGCCUGACGGAGCAACGCCGCGUGAGUGAUGAAGGUCUUCGGAUCGUAAAACUCUGUUAUUAGGGAAGAACAUAUGUGUAAGUAACUGUGCACAUCUUGACGGUACCUAAUCAGAAAGCCACGGCUAACUACGUGCCAGCAGCCGCGGUAAUACGUAGGUGGCAAGCGUUAUCCGGAAUUAUUGGGCGUAAAGCGCGCGUAGGCGGUUUUUUAAGUCUGAUGUGAAAGCCCACGGCUCAACCGUGGAGGGUCAUUGGAAACUGGAAAACUUGAGUGCAGAAGAGGAAAGUGGAAUUCCAUGUGUAGCGGUGAAAUGCGCAGAGAUAUGGAGGAACACCAGUGGCGAAGGCGACUUUCUGGUCUGUAACUGACGCUGAUGUGCGAAAGCGUGGGGAUCAAACAGGAUUAGAUACCCUGGUAGUCCACGCCGUAAACGAUGAGUGCUAAGUGUUAGGGGGUUUCCGCCCCUUAGUGCUGCAGCUAACGCAUUAAGCACUCCGCCUGGGGAGUACGACCGCAAGGUUGAAACUCAAAGGAAUUGACGGGGACCCGCACAAGCGGUGGAGCGUGUGGUUUAAUUCGAAGCAACGCGAAGAACCUUACCAAAUCUUGACAUCCUUUGACAACUCUAGAGAUAGAGCUUUCCCCUUCGGGGGACAAAGUGACAGGUGGUGCAUGGUUGUCGUCAGCUCGUGUCGUGAGAUGUUGGGUUAAGUCCCGCAACGAGCGCAACCCUUAAGCUUAGUUGCCAUCAUUAAGUUGGGCACUCUAAGUUGACUGCCGGUGACAAACCGGAGGAAGGUGGGGAUGACGUCAAAUCAUCAUGCCCCUUAUGAUUUGGGCUACACACGUGCUACAAUGGACAAUACAAAGGGCAGCGAAACCGUGAGGUCAAGCAAAUCCCAUAAAGUUGUUCUCAGUUCGGAUUGUAGUCUGCAACUCGACUACAUGAAGCUGGAAUCGCUAGUAAUCGUAGAUCAGCAUGCUACGGUGAAUACGUUCCCGGGUCU